rnacentral:rRNA from 1 species
GACGAACGCUGGCGGCGUGCUUAACACAUGCAAGUCGAACGAAGAGCGAUGGAAGCUUGCUUCUAUCAAUCUUAGUGGCGCACGGGUGAGUAACGCGUAAUCAACCUGCCCUUCAGAGGGGGACAACAGUUGGAAACGACUGCUAAUACCGCAUACGAUCUAAUCUCGGCAUCGAGGAUAGAUGAAAGGUGGCCUCUACAUGUAAGCUAUCACUGAAGGAGGGGAUUGCGUCUGAUUAGCUAGUUGGAGGGGUAACGGCCCACCAAGGCGAUGAUCAGUAGCCGGUCUGAGAGGAUGAACGGCCACAUUGGGACUGAGACACGGCCCAGACUCCUACGGGAGGCAGCAGUGGGGAAUCUUCCGCAAUGGACGAAAGUCUGACGGAGCAACGCCGCGGGAGUGAUGACGGCCUUCGGGUUGUAAAGCUCUGUUAAUCGGGACGAAAGGCCUUCUUGCGAAUAGUGAGAAGGAUUGACGGUACCGGAAUAGAAAGCCACGGCUAACUACGUG